CAGCCGUAAACUAUGCUCGCUAGGUGUCAGGCAUGGCGCGACCGUGUCUGGUGCCGCAGGGAAGCCGUGAAGCGAGCCACCUGGGAAGUACGGCCGCAAGGCUGAAACUUAAAGGAAUUGGCGGGGGAGCACAACAACGGGUGGAGCCUGCGGUUUAAUUGGACUCAACGCCGGGAAGCUCACCGGAUAAGACAGCGGAAUGAUUGCCGGGCUGAAGACUCUGCAUGACUAGCUGAGAGGUGUGCAUGGCGUAGACGUCU
rnacentral:rRNA from 1 species